CGCUUCUUCAUCUCUCUCUGAUGAGAUGACAAGAUGUGAUUUUAACACAGAAAAGUGAGCCCACAAAGAUGUUUUGCUUUCCUUCUUGUGUUAUAAAGCACUAUGAUCAGUAUGUACUCGUCUUAGAUAAAUAUUAUUUUAACCUCCAUCAAUAUUUCCAGCUGACAGGACUCUUUAUGAUCAGAGGAGUGCUGCAUUGAUGAGAUCUUCCCAUUUGCCUCAUGAAUCUGCUCAGACUUUAUCAGGAGCCUCAAUAAUAUUUAAGGAUUAUUAUAUCAGACCCUUGAAGAAGAAAGAGAUACAACCUAUCAAGAAAGAGCUGAAGCCUCUAAACAAAAGGUUGGUCUUUUAUACCAGAG
rnacentral:lncRNA from 1 species